rnacentral:rRNA from 1 species
UACGGAGGAUCCGAGCGUUAUCCGGAUUCAUUGGGUUUAAAGGGUGCGUAGGCGGGCUAUUAAGUCAGUGGUGAAAUCCUGCAGCUUAACUGCAGAACUGCCGUUGAUACUGAUAGUCUUGAGUUUGGUUAAGGUAGGCGGACUGUGUAAUGUAGCGGUGAAAUGCUUAGAUAUUACACAGAACACCAAUUGCGUAGGCAGCUUACUGAGCCGACACUGACGCUGAGGCACGAAAGCGUGGGGAUCAAACAGGAUUA